rnacentral:rRNA from 1 species
UACAGAGGGGGCAAGCGUUAUUCGGAAUUAUUGGGCGUAAAGGGCGCGUAGGCGGCCUGGCAAGUGGAAGGUGAAAUCCCUCGGCUUAACCGAGGAACUGCCCUCCAAACUGCUUGGCUUGAGUCCGGGAGAGGUGAGUGGAAUUCCCAGUGUAGCGGUGAAAUGCGUAGAUAUUCGCAAGAACACCAGUGGCGAAGGCGGCUCACUGGCCCGAUACUGACGCUGAUGCACGAAAGCGUGGGGAGCAAACAGG